AUGGCGAGGUGGCCGCCGGCGAUGCUGCUGGUACUGGCAGUGGCGCUGGUGGCGGCGGGCACCGAAACCGGCGAGUGCAUCCAUGAGCUGGUGCCCUACGAGGGUGGCUUCACGUCGGGGAAUUUCGUCGUCGUUGACCAUGACAUCUUCUGGAGCUCCGACUGCCCAGACCCCGGCAUCGACUUCACGGUAACUUCACGAGGCGGUAACACUGUAUAUACGUUGAAGGGAAAAUCUGGUGAUAAAUUCGAGUUUAAUGCUCCAAGGGGUGGAACGUACAAGUUUUGUUUCCAUAGUCCAUAUGGAGCACCUAAAACUGUUUCUUUCUACGUUCAUGAUGGUCGCAAUCUUGUUCUGGAGGAGGCCCUGAAGGGGGGAGCCUUCAAGAAGAGGUAUGAUGAGUGGAUGGCUAGGUAUCACCGCACAUACAAGGAGGAAGCCAUGAAGAAGAGGUUCGAGGAGUGGAUGGCCAAGUACCGUCGCACCUACAAGGAUGAUGAGGAGAAGGCGCGGCGCUAUGAGCUAUUCAAGGACUGUGCCAAGAUGGUUGAUAAGCUUAAUGUGUUUUCGGGUGGGGCGACCACAAACAACUUCUGCGACUAUUCUGAGGAUGAGAGGCAAGCCAGCUUAGGGGCCGAGUAA
rnacentral:rRNA from 1 species